rnacentral:rRNA from 1 species
UGGGGAAUAUUGCACAAUGGAGGGAACUCUGAUGCAGCGACGCCGCGUGAACGAAGAAGGCUAUCGAGUCGUAAAGUUCUUUUAUAUGGGAAGAUAAUGACGGUACCAUAAGAAAAAGCCCCGGCUAACUACGUGCCAGCAGCCGCGGUAAUACGUAGGGGGCUAGCGUUGUCCGGAAUCACUUGGCGUAAAGGGUUCGCAGGCGGAAAUGCAAGUCAGGUGUAAAAGGCAGUAGCUUAACUACUGUAAGCAUUUGAAACUGCAUAUCUUGAGAAGAGUAGAGGUAAGUGGAAUUUUUAGUGUAGCGGUGAAAUGCGUAGAUAUUAAAAAGAAUACCGGUGGCGGAGGCGACUUACUGGGCUCAUUCUGACGCUGAGGAACGAAAGCGUGGGUAGCAAACAGG